rnacentral:rRNA from 1 species
GCAUAUCAAUAAGCGGAGGAAAAGAAACCAACCGGGAUUGCCCUAGUAACGGCGAGUGAAGCGGCAAGAGCUCAAAUUUGAAAGCUGGCUCCUUCGGGGUCCGCAUUGUAAUUUGCAGAGGAUGCUUCGGGAGCGGUCCCCAUCUAAGUGCCCUGGAACGGGCCGUCAUAGAGGGUGAGAAUCCCGUAUGGGAUGGGGUGCCCGCGCCCGUGUGAAGCUCCUUCGACGAGUCGAGUUGUUUGGGAAUGCAGCUCUAAUUGGGUGGUAAAUUUCAUCUAAAGCUAAAUAUUGGCCGGAGACCGAUAGCGCACAAGUAGAGUGAUCGAAAGAUGAAAAGCACUUUGAAAAGAGAGUUAAACAGCACGUGAAAUUGUUGAAAGGGAAGCGCUUGCGAUCAGACUCGCUCGCGGGGUUCAGCCGGCCUUCGGGCCGGUGUACUUCCCCGCGAGCGGGCCAGCGUCGGUUUGGGCGGCCGGUCAAAGGCCCCUGGAAUGUAACGCCUCUCGGGGCGUCUUAUAGCCAGGGGUGCCAUGCGGCCUGCCCGGACCGAGGAACGCGCUUCGGCUCGGACGCUGGCAUAAUGGUCGUAAGCGACCCGUCUUGAAACACGGACCAAGGAGUCUAACAUCUACGCGAGUGUUCGGGUGUCAAACCCGUGCGCGCAGUGAAAGCGAACGGAGGUGGGAACCCCUCGGGGUGCACCAUCGACCGAUCCUGAUGUCUUCGGAUGGAUUUGAGUAAGAGCGUAGCUGUUGGGACCCGAAAGAUGGUGAACUAUGCCUGAAUAGGGCGAAGCCAGAGGAAACUCUGGUGGAGGCUCGCAGCGGUUCUGACGUGCAAAUCGAUCGUCAAAUUUGGGUAUAGGGGCGAAAGACUAAUCGAACCAUCUAGUAGCUGGUUCCUGCCGA